rnacentral:rRNA from 1 species
GACGAACGCUGGCGGCGUGCUUAACACAUGCAAGUCGAACGAAGUGGCGAACGGGUGAGUAACGCGUAAUCAACCUGCCCUUCAGAGGGGGACAACAGUUGGAAACGACUGCUAAUACCGCAUACUGAAGGAGGGGAUUGCGGCUGAUUAGCUAGUUGGAGGGGUAACGGCCCACCAAGGCGAUGAUCAGUAGCCGGUCGUGAAGGAUGGACGGCAACAUUGGGACUGGGGCACGGGCCAGACUCCGUCGGGGGGCAGCAGUGGGGGAUCUUCCGCAAUGGACGAAAGUCUUACGGAGCAACGCCGCGGGAGGGAUGACGGCCUUCGGGUUGUAAAGCUCUGUUAAUCGGGACGCGGUACCGGAAUAGAAAGCCACGGCUAACUACGUGCCAGCCGCCGCGGUAAUUC